AAGCCGAGGCGGGAGGUGGGGUCUGACGCCUGAUCGGGGCUGAUGGAGAUCUGGAAAGGGAAAGGGGAGGCAGGUUAGGCAUCUCCUUCCCACGCCCCCCAGGGCUAAAAUGACUACUGAAAGCACAAGACGCAGAAAGAAGAAGGUGCCGUCUUCGGGGGGGGACAAAGUGUUCCUAGCAAAAUCCACAAUAUAUCGUACCCCGACAUUUCUGAGAAGUCCACAUUGCAGAAGAAAAUAUUGAUGGCGAGCAUCUCCGUUGAAGGCUUGAAAAUCGACACAUUCGGGCUUCAUGGGCACCUACAUCAUGAAAAAUGCCUUUUUGCCCCCUCAGAGAGAACUCUGGCUCAGCCCGCCUGCUCCUCAGACUUCUCAACCCGAGUAGCUUGGAUGACAUGGCCUGGGGUGAGGAGGCAAACAUCUGGAGAAACCAGCCUGCGGGCUCCCCUGUCAGCAGAAUUCCAUCGGUUCCUGAUUAGCAACCCACAGAAACAGAGAGGGCAGAGCUGACGUUAAAGAUACGCCGAAGCCCAGGCUCCAGUGCCGCGAUUUAAGCAAGAGGCCGUUGGAAGAUAAUAACUACCGACAGACCAGCCUACUGUGUGGCAAUCAGAAGAGGCUUCAGAAGAGCGGAAGACCAAGAGCUGGAUUAGAAUCAUAUCGGCCGCAAGUCGACGUGCCGCAGUGUGGAAUGGGUUUUUGGGCACACUUUGGCCUUUCCCAGUAUACUCACACACGGAUAGGAUCUCACCAUGGGUAGCAUUGUAUUAAAUACAAAGGACAGCUCCUUUCAGGGAAUAAUUUUCAUGAAUAAUUAAAUCUCAGAUUGUAAUCAAA